rnacentral:rRNA from 1 species
GACAGAGGGUGCAAACGUUGUUCGGAAUUACUGGGCGUAAAGCGCGUGUAGGCAGCUUCGCAAGUCGGAUGUGAAAGCCCUGGGCUCAACCUAGGAAGUGCAUUCGAAACUGCAGAGCUUGAGUUCUGGAGAGGAAGGCGGAAUUCUCGGUGUAGAGGUGAAAUUCGUAGAUAUCGGGAGGAACACCGGUGGCGAAGGCGGCCUUCUGGACAGCAACUGACGCUGAGGAACGAAAGCCAGGGGAGCGAACGGG